CAAAUGGCUGUCAUAGCAGCCAUCAACAGUAACUUAAGGUCUUCUU
rfam:Solanum tuberosum cultivar DM 1-3 516 R44 scf00070_46, whole genome shotgun sequence.